GAAAUCACUUGACCUAAAAGCAGACGGCGCCCGGAUUGGCUGCGGCGUCCUCUCUCCAAAUAUGAGAUCAACAGACUGGGCCACAGCAACGCGUGGCAGGGGACAGCUAGUUAUAAAAUAAAAUACACAUGACAUGACGAAGCUCAAAUUAGAUCCGAGAAAGUGAUUAGAGAGAGACUGGUAGCAAGAUGCAGGACCUUUCGCCUCGCAAAACAAUACGGUUAUGAAUUGAGGGUCACAGAAACUCCCAAAAGCGCAACAGAUGUUGGACAGAAAACUCAGCUAAACGGUUGUCAACACAACAAAGUUGACUGUCAGUUCAAUGGCUGUAAAUAUGCUCCAUAGUCUGUAAUUUAAUUAUACAAUCUGCAAUGAAAGCUGCUUAUUUUCCAA